rnacentral:tRNA from 1 species
GCCGGGGUGGCCGAGCGGCAUAGGCGGCGGGCUGCAGACCCGUUCCACCAGGGUUCGAAUCCCUGCCCCGGCUCCA